rnacentral:pre_miRNA from 1 species
GUCAAGGAUUUGGAGGCCCGUCAGGUUCCCAACCGAGUCCGGGACCAUCUGCAGACUGGAGCACCAGCCCAGGACAAGGCUUUGGAGGCCGGUCAGGUUCCCAACCGAGUCCGGGACCAUCUGCAGACUGGAGCACUCUUCCAGGUCAAGGAUUUGGAGGCCUGUCAGGUUCCCAACCGAGUCCGGGACUAU